GGAGCUGCCAACCAGCCCCGGCUGCAACGAACCCAUGCUCCUGGACCCUGCAGAGGCCGACGUCAGGACCCAGAGCCGGGGCCAGAUGUAACCACCAUGCAGCCAACUACCGCAAGGGCUACUGAGGGAGACCCCCGGCCGGACUAUUUCCUGGACCCCUCGCUGUGUAGUGAGCCGGCAUGGCUCCCCUCCACCCAGGAGAGGGUCGAGCCCCGGUGAACUCUUGUACAGGGAAGUUCCUAAGUGAAUCAAAACAGUAGAGGAUUCAGUCUUACCUGAAGAAAACUACUAGAUUUUAUUUGUUAGGAAGUAAACUUUCAAGAGAUUUUAUUCUUGAUAGUUAACAAGAAAAGGAGACAUCAAUACUAAAGCACAUUAAGCUUAUCUCCUCUCAAAUGCUGGAGAGAGAGAAAGGAACUAAAUGAUUAUCUUUAUUUCUAGGAUUUGUGCUCACCUUUGUCUGUGACUUACAUAUAUGACACUGAUUGGUGAAGCCUUUAACCUUUAUAUCUAAUACACAAUAUAAUAAAACGUUAUAAAUAUUA